rnacentral:rRNA from 1 species
UACAGAGGUCCCAAGCGUUGUUCGGAUUCAUUGGGCGUAAAGGGUGUGUAGGUGGCGCCGUAAGUCGGGUGUGAAAUCUCGGGGCUUAACUCCGAAACUGCAUUCAAUACUGCGGUGCUUGAGGACUGGAGAGGAGACUGGAAUUCAUGGUGUAGCAGUGAAAUGCGUAGAGAUCAUGAGGAAGACCAGUGGCGAAGGCGGGUCUCUGGACAGUUCCUGACACUGAGACACGAAGGCCAGGGGAGCAAACGGG